UAUGCAUGUGCAUACUUCGUGUAUCUGAGUGCUCAUGUGUAUACAUAAUCUUGUGUGUGUAUGUAUGUGUGUAAAUAUAUAUGUAAGUUUUUAUAUAUAUAUAUAUAUAUGCAUUAAAUUCACAACUUACCAUAGGAAUUAGAGUUCAAUUUUCACCUAUAUUAAAUAAACUGCCAUUUUCAUUUGAUGCAGUCUGUAAAUCAUCAUUAAUGUAGACUCAGACUAUGACAUAUGAAGCAUGACAUAUAGUUGAAAUGAACAGAAAACAAGUUAUUGAUAUUUCAAAUAUUUCAUUGCAUAUGUUUCAGUACACAAUCAAAUUAUGUAUGGAUCAUUUCAUCAGAUGGAAGAAAUACAAAUAUUUCAGUAUCUUCCAUCUGAUGAAAUGAUCUUUAAUUGAUUUGAUUUGAUUAUUGAAAAGAGAGAGACUUUUUCCUAAUAUAGAAAUAUUGGCCAAUAUAAAGGAGAAAAAGAAAACCCUGACAUGUUGACAGAAGCUUGAAUUCUUGGUUUUUCAGACUCUGAACCUCUUGUAGUGUUGAGCAUAAAAUGAAAUAAGCAUAUUUCAGCAUCCGUUAGAAUUGUGUAUGGCAAACAUGAAAUCUAUCAGGAAACAAUAAAAUCACAAUUUGUAUGUACUAUUUUCUGAACUUAGUACAUAAUUCUUAACACAUUUCAGCACCUGAAGAAGUUUGCUAGAAAAAUGUUUUGUCUUUCGAUACAUAUUGUAUUUGUUUAUUUAUUCUGCUGUGUAUUAAUGGAAUAAAAUUUUGGUUUUUAUUUAGCAAA